rnacentral:rRNA from 1 species
GACGAACGCUGGCGGCGUGCUUAACACAUGCAAGUCGAACGGAAAGGCCCUGCUUUUGUGGGGUGCUCGAGUGGCGAACGGGUGAGUAACACGUGAGUAACCUGCCCUUGACUUUGGGAUAACUUCAGGAAACUGGGGCUAAUACCGGAUAGGAGCUCCUGCUGCAUGGUGGGGGUUGGAAAGUUUCGGCGGUUGGGGAUGGACUCGCGGCUUAUCAGCUUGUUGGUGGGGUAGUGGCUUACCAAGGCUUUGACGGGUAGCCGGCCUGAGAGGGUGACCGGCCACAUGGGGACUGGGAUACGGCCCGGACUCCUACGGGGGGCAGCAGUGGGGAAUAUGGCACAAUGGGCGGAAGCCUGAUGCAGCAACGCCGCGUGCGGGAUGACGGCCUUCGGGUUGUAAACCGCUUUCGCCUGUGACGAAGCGUGAGUGACGGUAAUGGGUAAAGAAGCACCGGCUAACUACGU